CAAGUAUGUAAACAUGGCGUCGUUUAGUGAAAUGUGUGCGAGGUAAGCUUAUUGAUAAUUUCUUCCAAAUUUUGGGUUAUUUUGUCAUAAAAAGCGAUGACAUAAUAUGAGGAAGUUAAGAUAACAGUUUUAGAAAUGCAAGUAAACGAAAAUAUGCUGUAUUUAUCAGUCCUAGACUGGUAUUUCAUGUGAAUUUUCUAGCACGAACGUUUUGUGCACAUAUGUGCACAUGAGGAAUUUAUGGAAUGAAUUUGUAAGUUACAGCAGUGAUGUUUGACUGCAUUAUCUGAUUGCUAAUGGAAUUAAAGGCGUAACAAUUUUAUUCUUUCUAGCACUGUAUUUCAUAAGCAAGCUUUUGCCAAAUAAAUUUCCCCAUUCUCUGUUUUUUUAUAGUACAUCAUGCAACAUUCUGAAUCCAAGGUUGGGUCUCUUCAUGCAGAAUUGAUAGUAUAGACUUUUCAUGAAGACUUCCAUGUUUGUAGUUCAAGCCAGCCAAGUUCCAAAGGAUGUAUACGUGACAAAUGAAACCACUGGCCUCUUCCGGUUGAGAAGCCUCGACGUUGCGAAAACACUGGUUGUAGCAGAACAACAAGUUUUUGUCCUCAAAGUGCCGAGUGUACCUGUGCGUAACAGGGACAACAUGCUUUUUGGAUUACCAUGGCAUAACUUCUGAAUAACUGUACAAUUCUUGUAAAUAUUAUAUGAUUUUCAUUAUACUCAG